GACGAACGCUGGCGGCGUGCUUAACACAUGCAAGUCGAACGAUGAAGCAGAGAAACGCGCACUUCGGUUCAAAUUUCACUUCGGAUUAGUGGCAGACGGGUGAGUAACGCGUGAGCAACCUACCUCUUACAAAGGGAUAGCCUCGGGAAACCGUGAUUAAUACCAUAUGACACAUUCAUAAGGCAUCUUAAGAAUGUUAAAGCUACGGCGGUAAGAGAUGGGCUCGCGUCCCAUUAGCUAGUUGGUGAGGUAACGGCCCACCAAGGCGACGAUGGGUAACCGGCCUGAGAGGGUGAACGGUCACAUUGGAACUGAGACACGGUCCAAACUCCUACGGGAGGCAGCAGUGGGGAAUAUUGCACAAUGGAGGGAACUCUGGUGCAGCGACGCCGCGUGAGCGAUGAAGGAAUUCGUUUCGUAAAGCUCUGUUCUAUGGGAAGAAAAGGACUGUACCAUAGGAGAAAGCCCCGGCUAAAUACGUG
rnacentral:rRNA from 1 species